CCUACGGGAGGCAGCAGUGGGGGAUAUUGCACAAUGGGGGGAACCCUGAUGCAGCGACGCCGCGUGGGUGAAGGAGUGCUUCGGCAUGUAAAGCCCUAUCGGCAGGGAAGAAGCAAGACGGUACCUGACUAAGAAGCCCCGGCUAACUACGUGCCAGCAGCCGCGGUAAUACGUAGGGGGCGAGCGUUAUCCGGAUUCACUGGGUGUAAAGGGAGCGUAGACGGCCAUGCAAGCCAGGGGUGAAAGCCCGGGGCCCAACCCCGGGACUGUCCUUGGAACUGGGCGGCUAGAGUGCGGGAGGGGCAGGCGGAAUUCCUGGUGUAGCGGUGAAAUGCGUAGAUAUCAGGAGGAACACCGGCGGCGAAGGCGGCCUGCUGGACCGCGACUGACGUUGAGGCUCGAAAGCGUGGGGAGCGAACAGGAUUAGAUACCCGUGUAGUC
rnacentral:rRNA from 1 species